AGCAAUGUGGUGAACACAAAGCGAACUAUUCUUUCGCCUUUUACUAAAGAAUACCGUGUGUUCUCCAUUCUUAAGUGGGAUACGCUUAUUUUUGGAGGGUUUCUGCCUUUGUGUGGAAC
rfam:Brassica oleracea var. oleracea cultivar TO1000 chromosome C8, whole genome shotgun sequence